CUCCAGAGAGGGGGCUAAACAGGAUUCAAGGGGAGAUCUAAGGACACUAACACAACAACUCCCUGGAGCUCCCUUUGUGUGCAGACAUCCUGAGGAAUCAAGUCUAGUUGUGGUUCUGACGAAACCAGCCACCGCUGCCGCCACUACCACGAGCACCACUAGCACCAGCAGCAUCACCAGCACCACCAGCACCAUCACAACAGCCAUCUUGGUUCCAUGCUUGCACAAGAGGACUUCCAGCACAGAGCAGGACCACAUAUCCCUGACCUUUUCCUGUCCUCAGGGCCCACCUGGAAAAUGACAGCAUUUACAGGGCAUGCUGCUGCCUGUGUGAGGACCUUCAGCUAGGAUCUCUGGCUCCUCAGCCCAGCCCCAGCCCCACCUGGCAGCUCCAAAGACUACCCCAUAUAUAACCACCCCCUCAGCACAAGCCAGAAGCUCCAGAUGGACGUGGAGAAGGCAGGCUAACAAGCCUGGGCCAGCCUGCUGGAGGCCGAAAGACCCUGUGGAGCUGAGCUGACUCUGCCCCUCUGUCUUUGCUAUGACCAGCACAGCCAACCCACAGCUGACCCCUGGGCUGACCACAGUUGCACGAGCAAGCCCAGCCCAAAUCAGAAGGUUGUGCAGCUGCAGCCUUGUAAACCCCUUUGACUGGCAUGAAGGAGCUUUGAUGCUUAUGUGGAAACAUUCCUGGCUGAGACCUGAGACCUGUCUUUUCUUUGCACCAGACAAGAGAGACCUCCGAUCUCCUUUUCACAGUACCUCGUGCACCGAGCAUAAGGCCUGGAGCAUGGCAGGAGGUCUGCUGCAGGUAGGAAUUGAAUGGCUGAAUGAAGACCACGCAGAUGUGGAUGCUCAUUGUUCCCAUCUCCUCCUCUGGAAGCCAUGUGUCUCCCUCUAAGCCAGGCUGGUCACUCCUUCCUUCAGACUUCACUGUCCCCCCACUUUCCUCCAUCACAAUUCAUCUCAUCGUGACCUCAGGAUUUUUCUGGAAACACAACUAUUGUCCCAUCAAUCCUCUCCCUGUCCUUUGGCCCCACUGAAAACUCUUGAAUGGGAUGUUGCUAUUCUUGGGACAAAGAUCCAAAUCCCUAAGGUGGCAUCUGAGGCCCCUUAGAUGUCUGGCCCUCACCUCUCCACCCCCAGCCUCGUUUCACAGCCCCUACUGACCCCCUGCCCUCCAACCACACAGGCCUUGGAGUUCUUCAUGGUUGCUGACAGCUGGCCAUCAUGACAGGGCCUCUGCACAUGCUGUUCCCUGGCUGAAACCCUCUCCCUUCCCCACCCUCACUUGCCAACUCCUAUUCUCCUUUCAGAUCCCAGUUCAGCCAUUCCAGUCCUCAGGUAAGGCUUCCUUGGUCUCCUUCAAAUCUCCCCACUUCUUCACUGCAUGUGUAAGCUCACACUUCUUUGUGUGACGUAUUGAUUAGUGUCUGUCUCUCCCUCUAGACUGUGAGCCUUAUCAGGCAGGGACCAGUAUGGUUUUGCUUAAUUUCCCUAACACAGUGGCUGUCCCACUGUAGGUGCUCAACAAAAGUGUCAAUAAAUAAGCGGAUGCUGUCCCUGCAGGGUUUUCUCUGAUUCGUGUGCUUCUCUCCCAAGACAGGCUUCCCCCAAGGGCUGGAAUCUGCCUCAGCCAUC
rnacentral:lncRNA from 10 species